rnacentral:RNase_P_RNA from 1 species
ACAGUUGGGCAGAUGGUCGCUGUGUGUUCGUAAUGGACACAGAGAGGAAAGUCCGAGCAUCAAAAGAACAAGGUGCCAGUUAACGGCUGGUGGAGGCGACUCUAAGGAUAGUGCAACAGAAAUAGACUUCCAUAUUUUAAAUAUGGUAAAGGUGGAAAGGUAGGGUAAGAGCCUACCGGGUGAUUGGCAACAAUCAUUGCUCUGUAAACCCCACUUGAUGCAAGAUUAAGUUUAGGCAAAUGUGUGUUCUUUCACGCCUAACAAAAAUAUCGCUUGAACUUGUUGGCGACAACAAGUCUGGAAAGAUGACCGUCUAAUACAGAACUCGGCUUAUAGCCCAAGUGUCAAA